GGGCCUGUAGCUCAGUUAGUUAGAGCACU
rnacentral:tRNA from 1 species